rnacentral:lncRNA from 1 species
ACAGAAUUUCAGAGCCAACACACACUGGAUCAUGUUCACCCACUGAAAAUGCAGUAACACCUGUGCUUACCAUUGUUCUGCACCCAUAAAUCACUCAGCUAAAAAGAGAGCUUUUCUGAUUCAUUAUAAGUUUAUAGGCACAAGCAGCCAAACCUGUACAUAUCAUUCAGACUAUUCCUACCACCAGAACAUUCAGUUUUCUUAAACAUUUUCUUAACACUGUCCUCACCAUCCAGAUUCAUUAUACUGUAAAAGAGUCAAAGCAUUUUAGAAGCAAAUUUUUUUUGUUUGUUUAUGAAUUAGAAAAUACUCUUUUGACAACAUAUUAGGUCAAACUUUGUCAAGGCUUACAGUUCUUGCAGGCUUUCAGCUGAGGUGUUACACAUAGCGUACAUAUAACAUCCAUCUUUGCUUUAUUCUGAUUAAUUCAAAAAGCACUGUUCAAUUUCGCUUCAUCAUCCUGCAUGUUUGACAUUUCAAAGUAGUUUGGCCUUAUCCAAAUAUAAACCUUCAGCUUGAUGAACCAGCCAGCAGAAAUCCCCAGCCCACUCCUGCGCUGUGACUCAGAGAUCCUGAAUCACUGCUGGGAGGGCUGACAGCAGCCAGCAGCCACACCAGAAAGCAUGAAUGUAUUGGGUCUGGCUGGAAUGUUAACUUUCCCAGCAGCAGCCCAUACAGUGCCGUACGCUGUACUUGUAGCUGGAACAGCAGUGUUAUCACACCAGUGUUGUGUCUGCUGCUGAGCAGCAGUGGCACAGUAUUAGGCCUUUCUCUAACCCUCCUAGGGGGUGGGCAAAAGUUGAGGAGAGAAACAUCACUAGGGCAGCUGGCCUAAACCAAUCAAAGGGAUAUUCCAUACCAUGUGAUGUCACACUCAGCAAUAAAAGGGGAAAAACAGGAAGAAGAGAGGAGGGGUGGGCUCUCGUUUGGAAGACGUCGGUCCUCCUCUCGAACACCGGCUGCGUGCGUUGAGGCCUUGCUUCAAGGACGUGGUCAAUCAUCGCUCAUUUGUGGAAGAUGCUGUAGGAUCAACGACAGGUCAUCAUUGCAAGGAGCCGGGCAGUGCAACAAGAACUUGAGCUAAGCUGGUGCUCGCGUCCAGACAUCCAACUCCACCUGCCUUGAGUGGCCACUUUGGCAGAUGAAGACCUAAUCAUCAACAGCUCUUAUGAACGUUUUCCAAGAAAGACCUAUGGAAUGAGAAGAUACACCUGCCUAUUAAUCCUGUCCUAUUAAAUCCUUGUCCUGUUAAAGGACAAGGAAUAAUGAUGAGGAUGCUUGUAUGCUAAAGUAUGGGGAUCUGAGUGUGACACAAAUGUUAUGGAAUAAGGGGUGGAGGUUGUAUUGGGUCUGGCUGGAAUGUUAACUUUCCCAGCAGCAGCCCAUACAGUGCCGUACGCUGUACUUGUAGCUGGAACAGCAGUGUUAUCACACCAGUGUUGUGUCUGCUGCUGAGCAGCAGUGGCACAGUAUUAGGCCUUUCUCUAACCCUCCUAGGGGGUGGGCAAAAGUUGAGGAGAGAAACAUCACUAGGGCAGCUGGCCUAAACCAAUCAAAGGGAUAUUCCAUACCAUGUGAUGUCACACUCAGCAAUAAAAGGGGAAAAACAGGAAGAAGAGAGGAGGGG